GGUGAGUAAUGCCUAGGAAUCUGCCUGGUAGUGGGGGAUUUCCCCCGGAAACGGACGCUAAUACCGCAUACGUCCUACGGGAGAAAGCAGGGGACCUUCGGGCCUUGCGCUAUCAGAUGAGCCUAGGUCGGAUUAGCUAGUUGGUGAGGUAAUGGCUCACCAAGGCGACGAUCCGUAACUGGUCUGAGAGGAUGAUCAGUCACACUGGAACUGAGACACGGUCCAGACUCCUACGGGAGGCAGCAUUGGGGAAUAUUGGACAAUGGGCGAAAGCCUGAUCCAGCCAUGCCGCGUGUGUGAAGAAGGUCUUCGGAUUGUAAAGCACUUUAAGUUGGGAGGAAGGGCAUUUACCUAAUACGUAAGUGUUUUGACGUUACCGACAGAAUAAGCACCGGCUAACUCUGUGCCAGCAGCCGCGGUAAUACAGAGGGUGCAAGCGUUAAUCGGAAUUACUGGGCGUAAAGCGCGCGUAGGUGGUUUGUUAAGUUGGAUGUGAAAUCCCCGGGCUCAACCUGGGAACUGCAUUCAAAACUGACAAGCUAGAGUAUGGUAGAGGGUGGUGGAAUUUC
rnacentral:rRNA from 1 species